rfam:Picea glauca, whole genome shotgun sequence.
AGCAUGUUCAAAGAUAUAUGAUAAAAUAAGAAUGAUACGUAGAAUAUUAGCAUGGCCCAUAUGCAGGGAUGACAUACACAAAUCAUGAAAUGAUCCAAAAUUUU